CAUGUGAAGCGGGUUAAAUAAAUAGCCUGUACGCAUGCGCACAGACGCAAAACAGUUGUCUGUUGGAACCUGUACAAUAAAGUUUUGAGAGCUGUCCGUCAUUCAUCCUGCUGAAUAGAAUACAAUCCCAUCGAGCCUAUGAAAACGCCACAGUAACGCUGCUCACCUUGAUCUUCAUGGUGCUGGGGGCCAGGGCUGUGAUCUCCUUCUGCAUGCGGUCAGCGAUACCAGGGUACAUGGUGGUACCACCAGACAGGACGUUGUUGGCGUACAGAUCCUUACGGAUAUCAAUGUCACACUUCAUGAUGCUGUUGUAGGCGGUCUCAUGGAUACCAGCAGACUCCAUACCUAUGCAGAAGGAAGUAUUGCAAAUCUAAUUGAAAAACGAUAUAUUUUUAUUUGUUUGUUAGGCAUUCUGAUUGUCAGAUUGGUCUUGAAGAAUGAAUGGGAUGUGGUGUGUUAGUACAUACCAAUGAAGGAAGGCUGGAACAGGGUCUCGGGGCAGCGGAAACGCUCGUUGCCGAUGGUGAUGACCUGCCCAUCGGGAAGCUCGUAGCUCUUCUCCAGAGAGGAGGAGGAGGCAGCGGUGGCCAUCUCGUUCUCGAAGUCCAGAGCGACGUAGCACAGCUUCUCCUUGAUGUCACGCACGAUCUCACGCUCAGCUGAGGGGGUUAUUCCUAAAGAAGGACCAGCAUCAACAAGAAGAGAAGAGCUGUCACCGUACACGUUUUCACUAAGUUGGUGAUGAUGCCGUGCUCGAUGGGGUACUUCAAGGUCAGGAUACCCCUCUUGCUCUGAGCCUCGUCUCCCACGUAGCUGUCCUUCUGACCCAUGCCCACCAUCACACCCUGAGCAGGAAAGAAAGCCGCCUCAGAAUUGCAGGAAAUAAGGGAAAUGGAGCGUAACAGGUGCCGGAGACUGCAUGCACCCUCCCCUCAACAGGCUGUCUGGAGGUCGUCGAGACCCCCAGGCUCCAUAUUUGUCAUGUUGCGUCGCUAUGCCGGGUUAAUAAGAAUGUAAAUACCUCCCACAACAUCAACCGUUCCAUUUGGAGGCGUAAUGUACUUUCAAGAGAGAUGCUACUAACCCAACUUGCCUACUUUUA